rnacentral:rRNA from 1 species
UACAGAGGGGGCAAGCGUUGUUCGGAAUUACUGGGCGUAAAGGGCGCGUAGGCGGCCUUCUAAGUCGAACGUGAAAUCCCCGGGCUCAACCCGGGAACUGCGUCCGAGACUGGAAGGCUCGAAUCCGGGAGAGGGAUGUGGAAUUCCAGGUGUAGCGGUGAAAUGCGUAGAUAUCUGGAGGAACAUCGGUGGCGAAGGCGGCAUCCUGGACCAACACUGACGCUGAGGAGCGAAAGCCAGGGGAGCAAACGGG